rnacentral:rRNA from 1 species
UACGUAGGGGGCAAGCGUUGUCCGGAAUCAUUGGGCGUAAAGAGCGUGUAGGCGGCCCAGUAAGUCCGCUCUGAAAGUCCGGGGCUCAACCCCGGGAGGCGGGUGGAUACUGCUGGGCUCGAGUCCGGAAGAGGCGAGUGGAAUUCCUGGUGUAGCGGUGAAAUGCGCAGAUAUCAGGAAGAACACCCGUGGCGAAGGCGGUUCUCUGGGACGGUACUGACGCUGAGACGCGAAAGCGUGGGGAGCGAACAGG